rnacentral:lncRNA from 1 species
GGCAAACAACAGUUUAUGCAUUUUCAACACAAAUAUCCAUCCAGCCAUUCAUGCCCACAUUAUCAUAACCUGUUCAAUUCAAAACAUAAUUUACAAUACAGCAAGUAGUCUCCAAUUACACCAUUUUCAAGUCAUCAUUAAAUUUCAAAACAAUUUAUAAAAUCAUUUCAUUUAAACAUAUUUUCCAUAAAAUUACAAAAUCGGAUAAAAAC